CAGGCCUAACACAUGCAAGUCGAGCGCGCCUUCGGGUGAGCGGCGGACGGGUUAGUAACGCGUGGGAACGUGCCCUUUUCUACGGAAUAGCCUCUGGAAACGGAGAGUAAUACCGUAUACGCCCUUUGGGGGAAAGAUUUAUCGGAGAAGGAUCGGCCCGCGUUAGAUUAGGUAGUUGGUGGGGUAACGGCCUACCAAGCCUACGAUCUAUAGCUGGUUUUAGAGGAUGAUCAGCAACACUGGGACUGAGACACGGCCCAGACUCUUACGGGAGGCAGCAGUGGGGAAUAUUAGACAAUGGGGGCAACCCUGAUCUAGCCAUGCCGCGUGAGUGAUGAAGGCCUUAGGGUCGUAAAGCUCUUUCGCUUGUGAUGAUAAUGACAG
rnacentral:rRNA from 1 species